CCUAUCUGGAAAUCAGUUUCAUCUGCCUCAGGUCUCUGGUCUAAAAGAUAACGCUGCCGAUCCCAGUUACCCCACAGGCCUGGGCGAGGAAAAUGCCAAGAGCUGUAAAAGGGCUUGGAAAAGUCAAAAAGGCAGAAUCUCACUCUGUUGUCUAGGCUGGAGUGCAGCAGUGUGAUCUCAGCUCACUACAACCUCCACCUCCCGGUUCAAGCCAUUCUCCUGCUUCAGCCUCCUGAGUAGCUGAGAUUACAGCUGUGUGCCACCACACACAGGUUUUUGUUUUGUUUUGUUUUGUUUUUUUUGAGACAGAGCCUCAAUGUGUCACCUCAGUUCACUGCAACCUACACCUCCCUGGUUCAAGCGAUUCUCCUGCCUCAGCCUCCCAAGUAGCUGGGACUACAGGUACAGGCUACCACACCCGGCUAGUUUUUGUAUUUUUAGUAGAGACAGGGUUUCAGCAUAUUGGUCAGGCUGGUCUCAAAACUCCUGACCUCAGGUAAUUCACCCACCUCAGCCUCCCAAAGUGCUGGGAUUACAGGCGUGAGCCACUGUGCCUGACCAAUCUUUAUAUUUUUACUAGAGACUGGGUUUCACCAUGUUGGCCAGGCUGGACUCAAAUUCCUAACCUCAAGUGAUCUGCCCACCUUGGCCUCCCAAAGUGCUGGGAUUAUAGGCGUGAGCCACCAUGCCUGGCCCUGUGCCAGGACUAUAAAGGACACAGUUCAGGCUAAGGGAUAAGCCCCUGGAGGAAGAUGCCAGACACCUUGAAGAGCAGAGAGGCCCACAGAGAGCUGCCCAGCAGGAAAUGUCUAGAAAGCAAUGGGGGAAGGAACAAGAAUGCACUGUAGGGUACUGUACCUUCCUUUCUGCCACCCCUCACCCUCACCUCUGCCAUACUCACCACACCCUCAGGGUCCACCAGUAGCAGAUGCUUGGGCUGCCCACUCUGCAAGCCAGUGAGCACAUACUGGCCAGGUGUGGUCGUGCUCUCCCGCACCAGGAAGUCCCCGUUGAGCUGCAGCAGUGCCUCAGCCUCCCGCCGGCUCAGCUUCCCAUGGAACCAGGGCUCCCCUCGGAGCUGCUCAGCCAUGGUGACCGACUGGGGAGGUGGAGGCACCCGAAGAGCAUCUUCAAAGGGCUCUGGAGGUGUAGAGAGAGGGUGAGGGGAGGUAGCAGGCACAAUACACACCCAAGACCCAGACUUCAGGGAAGGAAAGAGCAGAUAUAGGCAGGGGAAGGGCCAGAACCAAGUAGGAAGAUAGGGAUGCAGAGAGGAGAGAGGAGCACUCACUCAUGUCAAAUAGGUCCCGGGGCGCACUGCCAUUGAUGGCAGGAUUGGGGGGCCCAGCACCACCCCCUGCUUGCCGGGCCUUGUCUAGGUUCUGGACGUUGACGUAGGAGGGAUCAUCAAAGAGCUCUCUGCCUGCUGAGGAAAGGGAGGCUGUACAGUGAUCCCGGUCCUGCCUCCAGGACUCCCCAGCUCUGCCCAUCUCGGCUCCCUUCAUACCUGGACAGGGUGGUGGAAGUGGCAUCUGUUUGCGGACUUCUGGAUCUCCUCCAACAGGCUGUCCUAUAGGCUGCAAGGAUGAAAAUAAGGUGGAACCAGAGGCCCUAACCAGCCACUCCCACCCUAGGCCUCCAUCCAAACAACUUACCAGUGUAGCUCCCAAGUGGCUGGGGGUCUGGGCAGUGGGCGGAGUGGCUCCUUCCCGAAGCCUCAUGUCUACUACCCCCCCAAGAGGGGGUUCCUUCCCCGGGAAGUCAUUAUAGUACUGAUGGUCAGGUGGCUCUUCCUCCUCCUCAUCCCAAGCUGAGCCAUCAAAGCCAGCCAUCCUGAGAGACAGGACAGUGAAGGUGUGGCCGUAAAUGUGUGGUGGGCAGGAGGAGGGAACGGAACAGCAGCCAUGUAUUCGGUAUUUACUAUGGGUUAGGCCUGAGGCUGAGUGUGUUAUAUACCUAAUCAUUUCAUUCUCCUGGCAACCCCAUAAGAUAGGUAUUGUUUUCUUUCCUAGUUUUACAGAUGAGGCAAAUGAGGAUCAGUGGUGAAAAGAUUUGCCCAAGGUCUCACAACUAAAAGGUGACAGACUCAGAUUUAAAUUCAGGUUUGACUUUAAAGCUUAUGCCCUUGGGCAGGUGCAAUGGCUCAUACCUGUAAUCCCAACACUUUGGGAGGCCAAGGAGGGAGGUUGUUUGAGCCUAGGAGUUCAAGACCAGACAGGGCAACGUAGUGAGACUGCCUCUACCAAAAAAAUAAUAAUACUUAGCCAGGUGUGGUGGCAUGCACCUGUAGUCCCAGCUACUCAGGAGGCUGAGGUGGGAGAAUCACUCAGCCCAGGAUAUGGAGGCUGCAGUGAGUUGUGUGAUUACACCACUGAACUCCAGCUUGGGCAACACAGCAAGAUUCUGUCUCAAAAUAAAAAAGUAAUGCUCUU